rnacentral:rRNA from 1 species
GAUGAACGCUGGCGGCGUGCCUAAUACAUGCAAGUCGAACGAACGGACGAUGAGCUUGCUUCUCUGAUGUUAGCGGAAGACGGGUGAGUAACACGUGGAUAACCUACUUAUAAUACUGGGAUAACUUCGGGAAACCGGCGCUAAUACGGUAUAAUAUUUUGAACCGCAUGGUUCAAAAGUGAAAGACGGUCUUGCUGUCACUUAUAGAUGGAUUCGCGCUGCAUUAGCUAGUUGGUAGGGUAAGGGCUUACCAAGGCAACGAUGGAUAGCCGACCUUAGAGGGUGAACGGCCACAAUGGGACUGAGAUACGGAGCAGUCUCCUAUGUGACGCAGCAGGGGGGAGUAUUGCGCAAUGGGCGGGAGCCUGAGGCGGCAGCCUUCCGUGCGUGAUGACCUCUUUCGGGUUGUAAACCGCUUUCGCCUGUGACGAAGAGUGAGUGACGGUAAUGGGUAAAGAAGCACCGGCUAACUACGUG